rnacentral:miRNA from 1 species
UGCAUUUUUUGGUAAGACGAUGUUAACAAAAGUUGUUCGCCUUGAUGAGGGCUACAACUUUGCUUAAUAUCCUUUUAACAAAUUAUGCGUAUUUAAGAAGAUAGGUCAGCGCAUGCGCAGUAAGUAACUCCUUACGCUUGCAUUUUUUGGUAAGACGAUAUUAACAAAAGUUGUUCGCCUUGAUGAGGGCUACAACUUUGCUUAAUAUCCUUUUAACAAAUUAUGCG